GUCUCCUUCACUGGAUUCCGCAUUUUCAGCGCGUUGCAUCACCUCCGUGCGCGCGGUUGCAGCGUGGACGCCGGAUGAGUUGCUUCUAGGCUUGCUGGCCCGCGGGGCUGUCCAGGCACGCGAGGCCCCUCAGGUACGCCCUCUCUUCCCUGCAGGAUCCGGCCCUCAAAGACGAGGGUCACGCACGCGUUACAACCCCGAAACAGUAGCACAAGAUUUAAUUUUUAAAAGAGCGUGUUUCUUCGGGGCUUGCCGUUCGUUCGUUUCCAGCCUCAGGAAUUUAUGGUCGCCUUUUUGAAUGAGCAACAAAAUGCUUCAACAAGUUCCAGAAAACAUAAAUUUUCCUGCUGAAGAAGAGAAAAUCUUGGAGUUUUGGACUGAAUUUAAUUGUUUUCAGGAAUGCUUAAAGCAAUCAAAACAUAAACCAAAAUUUACCUUCUAUGAUGGUCCUCCUUUUGCAACUGGACUGCCUCACUAUGGACAUAUACUUGCGGGUACAAUUAAAGAUAUAGUUACAAGAUAUGCUCACCAGAGUGGGUUUCAUGUUGACAGAAGAUUUGGAUGGGAUUGCCAUGGCUUACCUGUGGAAUAUGAAAUUGAUAAGACACUGGGAAUCAGAGGACCAGAGGAUGUGGCCAAAAUGGGGAUUACAGAGUAUAACAAUCAGUGCCGAGCAAUUGUGAUGAGAUAUUCUGCUGAGUGGAAGUCUACUGUUAGCAGACUUGGCCGAUGGAUUGACUUUGACAAUGACUAUAAAACUCUGUAUCCACAAUUCAUGGAAUCAGUCUGGUGGGUCUUCAAACAACUCUAUGAUAAAGGCCUUGUUUAUAGAGGUGUGAAAGUCAUGCCCUUCUCUACGGCAUGUAACACUCCACUUUCCAACUUCGAGUCACACCAGAAUUAUAAGGAUGUUCAAGAUCCUUCAGUAUUUGUAACUUUCCCUUUGGAAGAAGAUGAAACUGUAUCUUUAGUUGCUUGGACAACCACUCCCUGGACUCUACCUAGUAACCUUGCUGUGUGUGUUAAUCCAGAAAUACAAUAUGUGAAAAUUAAAGAUGUUGCCAGAGGACGAUUACUCAUUUUAAUGGAAGCCAGAUUGUCAGCCCUCUAUAAAUUGGAGAGUGACUAUGAGAUCCUUGAAAGAUUUCCUGGUGCCUAUCUUAAAGGCAAGAAGUACAGGCCCCUGUUUGACUAUUUCCUGAAGUGUAAAGAGAAUGGCGCUUUCACUGUGCUUGUUGACAACUAUGUGAAGGAAGAAGAAGGCACAGGGGUUGUCCACCAAGCUCCUUACUUCGGUGCUGAGGACUAUCGGGUCUGUAUGGACUUUAACAUUAUUCGGAAAGACUCACUCCCCGUUUGCCCUGUGGAUGCUUCAGGCUGCUUCACAACGGAGGUGACAGAUUUCGCAGGACAGUACGUGAAGGAUGCUGACAAAAGUAUCAUCAGGACUUUGAAGGAACAAGGCCGACUUCUGGUUGCCACCACCUUCACUCACAGCUACCCUUUUUGCUGGAGAUCAGACACUCCUCUAAUUUACAAAGCAGUGCCCAGCUGGUUUGUGCGAGUGGAGAACAUGGUGGACCAGCUCCUAAGGAACAAUGACCUGUGCUACUGGGUCCCAGAGUUGGUACGAGAAAAACGAUUUGGAAAUUGGCUGAAAGAUGCACGUGACUGGACAAUUUCCAGAAACAGAUACUGGGGCACCCCCAUCCCACUGUGGGUCAGCGAUGACUUUGAGGAGGUGGUAUGCGUUGGGUCAGUGGCGGAACUUGAAGAACUGUCAGGAGCAAAGAUCUCAGAUCUCCACAGAGAGAGUGUUGACCACCUGACCAUUCCUUCACGCUGUGGGAAGGGAUCCUUGCACCGCAUCUCUGAAGUGUUUGACUGUUGGUUUGAGAGUGGCAGCAUGCCCUAUGCUCAGGUUCAUUACCCGUUUGAAAACAAGAGGGAGUUUGAGGAUGCUUUUCCUGCAGAUUUCAUUGCCGAGGGCAUCGACCAAACCAGAGGAUGGUUUUAUACCCUGCUGGUGCUGGCCACAGCCCUCUUUGGACAACCGCCUUUCAAGAACGUAAUUGUGAAUGGGCUCAUCCUGGCAAGUGAUGGCCAAAAAAUGAGCAAACGGAAAAAGAAUUAUCCAGACCCAGUUUCCAUCAUCCAGAAGUAUGGUGCUGAUGCCCUCAGAUUAUAUCUGAUUAACUCCCCUGUGGUGAGAGCAGAAAACCUCCGCUUUAAAGAAGAGGGUGUGCGGGACGUCCUUAAGGAUGUACUGCUCCCAUGGUACAAUGCCUAUCGCUUCUUAAUCCAGAACGUUCUGAGGCUCCAGAAGGAGGAAGAAAUAGAAUUUCUCUACAAUGAGAACACGGUUAGAGAAAGCCCCAACAUUACAGACCGGUGGAUCCUGUCCUUCAUGCAGUCUCUCAUUGGCUUCUUUGAGACUGAAAUGGCAGCUUAUAGGCUUUAUACUGUGGUGCCUCGCCUGGUCAAGUUUGUAGAUAUUCUGACCAAUUGGUAUGUUAGAAUGAACCGCAGAAGAUUAAAGGGUGAAAAUGGGAUGGAGGAUUGUGUCAUGGCCCUAGAAACCUUGUUUAGUGUUCUGCUUUCUCUUUGCAGACUUAUGGCUCCCUACACACCUUUUCUCACUGAAUUGAUGUACCAGAAUCUAAAGGUGCUGAUUGACCCUGUUUCUGUUCAGGACAAGGACACACUCAGCAUUCACUACCUCAUGCUGCCCCAUGUUCGAGAAGAAUUGAUUGACAAGAAAACAGAGAGUGCAGUAUCUCAGAUGCAGUCUGUGAUUGAACUUGGAAGAGUGAUCAGAGACCGAAAAACUAUUCCCAUAAAGUAUCCUUUGAAAGAAAUUGUGGUUAUCCAUCAAGAUCCAGAAGCUCUUAAAGAUAUCAAGUCUUUGGAGAAGUAUAUCAUUGAGGAACUCAAUGUUCGAAAAGUUACACUGUCUACAGAUAAAAACAAGUAUGGCAUUCGGCUAAGGGCAGAACCAGAUCACAUGGUCCUGGGGAAGCGUCUGAAGGGAGCCUUUAAGGCAGUGAUGACGUCCAUCAAGCAGUUGAGCAGUGAGGAGCUGGAGCAGUUCCAGAAGACUGGGACCAUUGUUGUGGAAGGCCAUGAAUUGCACGAUGAAGACAUCCGCCUCAUGUACACCUUUGAUCAGGCCACAGGUGGGACUGCGCAAUUUGAAGCACACUCAGAUGCUCAGGCUUUGGUCCUCUUAGAUGUCACUCCUGACCAGUCAAUGGUAGAUGAAGGAAUGGCUCGGGAAGUCAUCAAUCGCAUACAGAAACUUCGCAAAAAGUGCAAUCUGGUUCCAACUGAUGAAAUCACAGUGUACUAUAAAGCAAAGUCUGAAGGAACAUAUCUGAAUAGUGUUAUUGAAAGCCACACAGAGUUCAUAUUUACCACCAUAAAGGCUCCCUUGAAACCAUAUCCAGUUUCUCCAUCGGAUAAAGUCCUUAUUCAAGAAAAAACACAGUUGAAGGGAUCUGAACUGGAAAUUACACUCACCAGAGGAUCUUCCCUUCCUGGUCCUGCUUGUGCAUAUGUCAAUCUUAACAUUUGUGCAAAUGGCAGUGAACAAGGCGAGAUGCAGUGGAUCAUUCCUGAAAUCCUACCGCUUUUGGAAGCCAAGGUGGAGUAUUGCUUCUGGAAAAUCCAAAAGGUGACAAUAGGUUGGACCUUUUAAAGCUGAAGAGUGUUGUCACUAGCAUUUUUGGUGUGAAAAAUACAGAGCUGGCUGUCUUCCAUGAUGAAACAGAAAUACAAAACCAAACUGACUUACUGAGUCUUAGUGGAAAAACACUUUGUGUGACUGCAGGAUCGGCUCCCUCUCUGAUCAACAGUUCUAGUACUCUUCUUUGUCAGUAUAUCAACCUACAGCUCCUGAAUGCAGAGCCACAAGAGUGUUUAAUGGGGACAGUGGGCACUCUCCUGCUUGAAAACCCACUUGGGCAGAAUGGACUCACCCACCAAGGUCUUCUGUAUGAAGCAGCCAAGGUGUUUGGCCUUCGGAGCAGGAAGCUAAAGCUGUUUCUGAAUGAGACCCAAACGCAGGAAAUUACAGAAGACAUCCCCGUGAAGACUUUGAAUAUGAAGACUGUGUAUGUUUCUGUAUUACCAACAACAGCAGACUUCUAGCAUGUACUUAUCAAUGUUGUUCGGUCAGCCCUUCCCUAAUUACACCUAUCCCCUACACAUACAUGCACAUAGACACACACAUGAACACACUGAAGAUAUUUCCUUCAGGUGUGUGUAAAAUAUGCUGCUUGGAUUGAAAUUCAAAUGGGAUUGAUUAGUCAAGUAACUUCAGACCUCACAGUAAUCUUCACACUUAACCUUGGACACCUAUGCAGUCAUGUUGGGAGCAGGUUACAAUGUUACUUCAGCCCACAGUUUAUUUCUAUACUUGAGUUCUUAAGUACAGAAGAUAGAAGUGAUUUAAAUGGCAUAGUAUAUAUAUCAUUUUCUGGCCUUUUAAAAUUUAUUUGAGACCUCUUGAUGAAAUGGACAUAUUAUAUAUUUCUGCCACCUGGAUUUUCCUGGAUAAUUUGAUGGAAUAUUUUAAGUUUCAGUAAAUCAGAACAAUAAACAAACUCACUCAGAUAUAAA